rnacentral:lncRNA from 1 species
CUGAUAUACAGUUUUUGCUGCUCGUUUUAUUGUCGAUUCCAACUGCAUCGAUGCAUCUUUAACAAGCAUACCACGAACCAGAGCAGCAACCAAGUUGACCUUCUUUGGACUCUAAAAUACCAUAGAAAACAAGGUAUGUAAAAUGUGCAACUAGUCAGAUAUUAAUCAGAUCCUUCUUAAACCAUAAAUUAAGACAUUUUCCACAGCAAGCCAGGGAAGGCAUUUCAAUGGCUAAAAAAUUAGAUGCCAACUUUUCUGCAAAAUAACAUGUUGGUUAAAACACAGAAGUUUCUUAGCAAGUAGCUAGGCAGUGGCACCACAUAAAUGUAACAAAACAUUGUAAUUUUUCAAUAUUUAUGUUAUUGCUAAGCUGAACAUACUUGUGAUGAUACUUAUGUUCACUUUAGCAUGCAUACUAGAAAUGUGAUUAGCAAGUUAAAAUUAAAUAACUGGCUGGCCUGCUCUCAACAAUGCCCAAGUCUAACUAACUAGUUCCAACUCAUCAUUACUCACUAACUCCUGCUAACCAGCUUCCUGAUCUGUCUUUUUCCUGACCAACUCUUAUGUUGUCUACUCCAUGACUGAACCAUGUGUCCUAACAUGGCCCUUUCUUGGAGCUACAGCCUUGUCCUUAAGGAUCAAAGAAGGAAACUGGCUACAUCGCACAAAUUCAUCCUCCCACAUUGUGAUUAAUUUUCCCUUCCUCUUUUCCAGCCUUUGUUGAAUCUUGUCUCUCCUAAAUAACUUGUCUGCUAACCAUUACCAUUACAUAUUCUGGCCCCACUUCAUCCUCCCACAUUGUGAUUAAUUUUCCCUUCCUCUUUCCCACAUUGAGGAAGGCACAAUUUAAUUAUGAAUAUUUUUUUUUUGGAAGGCAGAAAAUAUAUAGUAUUAAUAUAAACAUAUCAGUACCAGAGGUACGGAUGAAAGAUGAACAAAUACAAGACACCUAUGGUGCCGCCCUCCAAAAAAGAGAAGAACCCAACCAAGACCCCACCACAGAAGAUACAGGAAACCCAACCCAACUUAACCAAAAGACUUUGAAAGAUUGGUAGACCAGUGGUUAAAAAGAGUGUUGAAAUCUUUCUCUCUAGCUUUUAACCAAGACCAAGCUAGAAAUAAAGCAUCAUCCAUCACUUUGGAUGAGCACUAUAUGGCAGCAUAGGAAUUUAAUUAUGAAUAUUAUAAUGCAUAUUUAGUGAUUAACAUAAAUGAAUUUUGAAUGUGCAGUGAACGUAUCCUUUUUCAUUAGCAUAAUAGACACUCUUAAAAAAAACCAUUAUACAAUUCAAAACUACAACAUAAUAAGAACAAACAACAUUAUGCUCCCUUUGUUCUAAUUUUUAUACCACCAUACGGAAUACUGAUACAAAAGCUGAGGAACAAGAGAGAACACAAACCAGAGGUCCAAAUACAGAAGCCAGGGGUGCAGAUAAAAGGAAAAUCAAAGAUGGCCAGGGGUACACCAUAAGACUAUGUAUAAGAAAGAAAGGGAGAAAGGAAGCUGACCUGGAAUGAAGAAUUGCUAGAUGGUUGAUGGUCCUGCCUUAGGGAGACAAGCUUACCCAUAAAUUGUUAGCCAAAGGUUGUGACCGGAAAACACUGUUAUUUCAUUUGUAACAAGCUAGGCAUGAUUAAUAUUUAUGCUCAAACUUGGGAUUUGGGAACAAUGUUAAAGAGUUAUUAUGGAUUGAGUUAGAAUUAGACUAUUGAAAGUAUAUGGGCUUGGCCCAAAUAUAGUUUGCACUGCAUUGUAUUUAAAUCUUAAAAUAUUAGCAUAUAAUACAAAAAAAUACAACAAUAACGAAAAUAGCCUUUUGAGCAUUAACAUUUAACCAGACCCAAGAAAAAGAAAAUGCAAAAGACAAAUAUCAACUAAAGAAACAUGUCAAACAAAUAUUGGCAUUCAGGGAAGUAACAACUAGUUGCAAGUAAAACUUACAUAUUCUUAGGAAAGAAAUGAGCUUGUACCCUUGGAAUAGAUCUAUCUUCUACCAAAUUGGGUUUUUUGAGGGCAGCUCUAGUGCAUUUGGAUUUCCAUGUGUCAAUCGUAGACCAGACAUGACACAUAACCCACACCGUAGGAAAUAACAUCAAGCAUAAAUACAGGAGGGAGUAGAUGUUUUUAUUUUUUCAGAACCCAAGAAGAAGAUAAGGAUCCUCUAGAUUAUAGGAAACAAAGAGAAAGGCCCAACCAAACCAUAAUGAAAGAUUCCCUUUUUUCAUUCACAAAGGUGUAAAAACUGAUACAAAAAAGAAUUGACCAUUUAACUUUAAAUAUUCCAAAUUACAUGAAAAAUGAUAGAAGCAGGGAAUGAUGGUAAAUAAAACAACAAAACAGAAAAGAUAUCAAAAAGGCA